rnacentral:piRNA from 1 species
UUGUUAACAUUGCUCGCCAGUGAGCAAAU